AUUGAACGCUGGCGGCAGGCCUAACACAUGCAAGUCGAGCGAGCGGCGGACGGGUGAGUAGUGUCUGGGAAACUGCCUGAUGGAGGGGGAUAACUACUGGAAACGGUAGCUAAUACCGCAUACCAUCCGAUGUCCCCAGAUGGGAUGAGCUGGUAGGUGGGGUAACGGCUCACUUAGGCGUCGAUCCCUAGCUGGUCGGAGAGGAUGCCCAGCCACACUGAAAGUUAUACACGGUCCAUACUCCUACGGGAUGCAGGAGUGGGGAAUAUUGCACAAUGGGCGCAAGCCUGAUGCAGCCAUGCCGCGUGUGUGAAGAAGGCCUUCGGGUUGUAAAGCACUUUCAGCGGGGAGGCGUUACCCGCAGAAGAAGCACCGGCUUACUCCGUGCCAGCCGCCGCGGUAAUAC
rnacentral:rRNA from 1 species